rnacentral:rRNA from 1 species
AUGCCUAGUACGGCGAGUGAAGCGGCAACAGCUCAAAUUUGAAAGCUGGCUCCGGCCCGCAUUGUAAUUUGCAGAGGAUGCUUUUGGCGAGGUGCCUUCCGAGUUCCCUGGAACGGGACGCCAUAGAGGGUGAGAGCCCCGUAUGGAUGGACACCAAACCUGUGUAAAGCUCCUUCAACGAGUCGAGUAGUUUGGGAAUGCUGCUCUAAAUGGGAGGUAAAUCUCUUCUAAAGCUAAAUACCGGCCAGAGACCGAUAGCGCACAAGUAGAGUGAUCGAAAGAUGAAAAGCACCUUGAAAAGGGGGUUAAACAGUACGUGAAAUUGUUGAAAGGGAAGCAUUUAUGACCAGACUUGCGCCGGGCAGCUCAUCAGGGGUUCUCCCCUGUGCACUCUGCCCGGCUCAGGCCAGCAUCGGUUCUCGUGGGAGGAUAAGAACAGUGGGAACGUGGCCCCCCUCCGGGGGGGUGUUAUAGCCCAUUGUACGAUACUCUCGUGGGGACCGAGGUUCGCGCUCCGCAAGGAUGCUGGCGUAAUGGUCAUCAAUGACCCGUCUUAAC